rnacentral:rRNA from 1 species
CCUACGGGAGGCAGCAGUGAGGAAUAUUGGUCAAUGGACGCAAGUCUGAACCAGCCAUGCCGCGUGCAGGAUGACGGCUCUAUGAGUUGUAAACUGCUUUUGUACGAGGGUAAACCCCGAUACGUGUAUCGUGUUGAAAGUAUCGUACGAAUAAGGAUCGGCUAACUCCGUGCCAGCAGCCGCGGUAAUACGGAGGAUCCGAGCGUUAUCCGGAUUUAUUGGGUUUAAAGGGUGCGUAGGCGGUUUGAUAAGUUAGAGGUGAAAUGUCGGGGCUCAACCCCGAGACUGCCUCUAAUACUGUUGGACUAGAGAAUAGUUGCGGUAGGCGGAAUGUAUGGUGUAGCGGUGAAAUGCGUAGAGAUCAUACAGAACACCGAUGGCGAAGGCAGCUUACCAAACUAUAUCUGACGUUGAGGCACGAAAGCGUGGGUAGCAAACAGGAUUAGAUACCCGUGUAGUC